CCUACGGGUGGCAGCAGUCGAGAAUCAUUCACAAUGGGGGAAACCCUGAUGGUGCGACGCCGCGUGGGGGAAUGAAGGUCUUCGGAUUGUAAACCCCUGUCAUGUGGGAGCAAAUUAAAAAGAUAGUACCACAAGAGGAAGAGACGGCUAACUCUGUGCCAGCAGCCGCGGUAAUACAGAGAUCUCAAGCGUUGUUCGGAAUCACUGGGCGUAAAGCGUGCGUAGGCUGUUUCGUAAGUCGUGUGUGAAAGGCGCGGGCUCAACCCGCGGACGGCACAUGAUACUGCGAGACUAGAGUAAGGGAGGGGGAACCGGAAUUCUCGGUGUAGCAGUGAAAUGCGUAGAUAUCGAGAGGAACACUCGUGGCGAAGGCGGGUUCCUGGACAUUAACUGACGCUGAGGCACGAAGGCCAGGGGAGCGAAAGGGAUUAGAUACCCCAGUAGUC
rnacentral:rRNA from 1 species